rnacentral:lncRNA from 1 species
UUGUAAUGUGGCUUAGGUUACAAGAAAGGAUAUGAUUCAGAGAAUUCAACCAAAUUGCUUAUCCUAAGGGAGCAUUCCCAAAGAUUCACUCUACACAAUUUCCUUUUCUUUGAUCCCUAACUUUUUCUUUUUCUUUUUCUUUUCAAAUCCACACAACCAUGAGCAUUUCCUUUGCUUUUCUUUUUCUAAUUUUUCUAUGCUCUAUGGUUUCAAGGGUGAUUUCUUUUUCUUGUUUCUUUUUAUUUUUUUACCCUUUCAUAGAAACUCACUUUUCCAAGUUUCUACUCAACUUUUCAUUAAACUCUCCCCAACUUUAGAUUCCAAAACCAAAUGUAUUCAAUAAUGCUCCCUACUUAGAUAUAAGCAAAAGGCAAAAUUUUGCAAACAACUCGGUUUGAGGUUUCAACUGAUACGAAAGAAAUUAGGAUUCACUUAUUCCACAAUUUUCAAUUGAUUUUACAAUGAUCAAUCAAAUGAAUCCUAAAAUAAGCUCAAAGGGGGUUAACUAAGGAU